rnacentral:lncRNA from 1 species
GUAUCAUAUAUAUAUGUAUCAAAUAAUGAUGAUUUUUCGGAUAGUUUAGAUUGUGAUACCGAUUAUUAAGAAUUUUGAAAAGAACAUAAUAUGAUAUAGUAUUUUUUUAGCAUAAUUAAGAUUUAAUAAAUUGAUGAUCAAGAAAGGGAUAUUUGGACUAACCACAUUAAACUGAGAAUAGUCCUACCACGGACAGAAAUGUGGUACUUGAGUUUGCAACCACAGAUAGAAUUGUAGAUACUUUGAUUUGCCACUGCGGGCAGAAUCACAUCUAGUAUGAUUUGUCUUAGCAUGCGAAUUCGCAACUAGUAUGAUUUGCCACCAU